rnacentral:rRNA from 1 species
AUUGAACGCUGGCGGCAGGCCUAACACAUGCAAGUCGAACGAGUGGCGGACGGGUGAGUAAUGUCUGGGAAACUGCCCGAUGGAGGGGGAUAACUACUGGAAACGGUAGCUAAUACCGCAUACCAUCGGAUGUGCCCAGAUGGGAUUAGCGAGUAGGUGGGGUAAUGGCCCACCUAGGCGACGACCACUAGCUGGUCUGAGAGGAUGACCAGCCACAGUGGAACUGCGAACCGGUCCCGACUCCUACGGGAGGCAGCAGUGGGGAAUAUUGCACAAUGGGCGCAAGCCUGAUGCAGCCAUGCCGCGUGUAUGAAGAAGGCCUUCGGGUUGUAAAGUACUUUCAGCGGGGCGGCGUUACCCGCAGAAGAAGCACCGGCUAACUCCGUGCCAGCAGCCGCGGUAAUAC